GACGAACGCUGGCGGCGUGCUUAACACAUGCAAGUCGAACGGUGAAGCGCCUUUCUUUUUGGUGGGUGUGGAUGAGUGGCGAACGGGUGAGUAACACGUGAGUAACCUGCCCCCUUCUUCUGGAUAACCGCAUGAAAGUGUGGCUAAUACGGGAUAUUCUGGGUCUGUCGCAUGAUGGGUCUGGGACAGAUGUUGUUUCGGUGGGGGAUGGGCUUGCGGCCUAUCAGCUUGUUGGUGGGGUGAUGGUCUACCAAGGCGGUGACUGGUAGCCGGCCUGAGAGGGUGGACGGGCGCACGAGGACUGAUACACGGUCCAGACUGCUACAGGAGGCAGCAUGGGGGAAGAGGGCACAGUGGGGGCAAGCCUGAUGCAGCGACGCCGCGGAAGGGAUGGAGGCCUUCGGGUGGUGAACCUCUUUCGCCAGUGAAGCAGGCCUGCCUCGUUUGUGGGUGGGUUGACGGUAGCUGGAGAAGAAGCGCCGGCUAACUACGUG
rnacentral:rRNA from 1 species